UACGAAGGGGGCUAGCGUUGUUCGGAUUUACUGGGCGUAAAGCGCACGUAGGCGGAUCGAUCAGUCAGGGGUGAAAUCCCAGGGCUCAACCCUGGAACUGCCUUUGAUACUGUCGAUCUGGAGUAUGGAAGAGGUGAGUGGAAUUCCGAGUGUAGAGGUGAAAUUCGUAGAUAUUCGGAGGAACACCAAUGGCGAAGGCAGCUUGCUGGGACGGUACUGACGCUGAGGCGCGAAAGCGUGGGGAGCAAACAGG
rnacentral:rRNA from 1 species